rnacentral:ncRNA from 1 species
CCGAUUUGGUCCUAGUCCCAACUUUAACUAUUUUCAAGAUGCCACAUGCAAGUCUAUUAGCAAACCAGUGAAGUAACUCCCUUCCCCUUAAAAACUGCAAAGAAAAUAGGAGAAGGAAUUCUAGUAUCAGGCACUAAACAACAAGCCGAUGACACUAGGCAAUACGCCACAACUGCAGUGCUAAACAUUAGACAAUCGGAUAAAUCCGGAUCUAGCAAAGAAAAAGCAAGGGGGUAAAGUACGUGCCAGCCACCGCGGUUAUACGUACUCCCUAUAGUUAAACAAAACGGUGAAAAGGGUGGUUAGAAAGAAAGAACUAAUUGACUAUAGCUUUGAGCUAGUGGUAAAAAACUAACCUCAAAAGAAACUCUUAUUGUCAAACUCGGAAUUUGAGGCCACGAAAACUAAGAUCUAAACCAGGAUUAGAUACCCUGUUAUACUUAGAAGUAAACAACCUAAGCACCAGAGAACUACGAACCCAAAGUUUAAAACUCAAAGGACUUGGCGGUUUUCCAUACCUCCCUGGAGGAGCUUGCCAUUGAAUCGAUAAUCCACGAAAUACCUCACCAGCUUUUGUAACAUCAGCUUGUAUACCAUCGUCGUAAGUCUACUUCUUGAGAAAGUUGACCACAAAGAAAAAUCCCCAGACGUCAGAUCAAGGUGCAGCUUAUAAGCUGGGAAUAGGUGAGCUACAAUGUUUGAAAAAACCAGUGAAAAUAGAAAUGAAAAAUUCUUUAGAAAUUGGAUUCAGCAGUAAGCCCCACAUAGAAAAUGGGACUGAAAAGAGCUCUGGAAUGCGUACACAUCGCCCGUCACUCUCGCCUAGCUAAAAUAAGUAAGGGGAGAAAAGUCGUAACACAAUAGGCACACCGGAAGGUGUGCCUGGAAAAU